GGCAACCCACUCCAGUGUUCUUGCCUGGAGAAUCCCAGAGACGGGGGAGCCUGGUGGUCUGCCGUCUUUGGGGUCGCACAGAGUUGGACAUGACUGAAGCGACUUAGUAGCAGCAACAGCAGCCGCAGACUCCAUCCCAGGGGUCAGGGAGGCGCGCUGCCUGCUUGGGAGCGAGGAGCGAACUGACCCGGGUCUCUGCGGUGAGAAACCUUUCCCAUGGUCUCCUUGGCUUCCUUGCAAAGGCUGGGGAACUGCCAGAGGCCUCCCACGUGGCGAAAAUCACAGCACCUUCGGAGCAGGAAGGAUGGAGUCAGAAGUGGCCCCAACCAGCCUCCUUCCUGGCUGAGGCUUGGGGAAGGGCGGCCCUGGCUGCUCGCCAUGUUCUCCAGUUCUCCAGCUCCAAGGCACGACCCUGCCCGCCCUGCCUUCCUUCCACCUCUACCUGCUCUCUGGAUUGCCUGUAAGAAUUUCCCCCUCAGCCCUUGCAGGGCAGACUGCUCUCCUGUUGGUGGAGGAAGGCAGAUGUAGCUGGCUUAUGAAGCACAGCAGGGACCAAGUGGGUAACAGGUUGCUGAGAGAAGGAUUCAAACUGAGGUCCUGUGAAGCUCACCCCUCUCCUGCACACAGAUUUCUACCUUUUCUUGAAGCUGCUUUGAAUUGGUUUGCAUUCUGGGAACCAAAUGACCCCUAGGAUAGAAGACAAGGUGAGAAGUCCAGGUUGGGUGCAGGAUCCCUGCGCUGGAGGAGCCCGGAGGAAGGGGGUUGGGAUCUUCCUGGGGCCUCAGCAAAUGACUGGGGUCUCACCCCAGGCAGAGAGGAGAGACAGAAGGGGCAUCCCAGGGAGUAGGGGGCAGCCUGGCAGAGGGAACAGCCCACACCGAGAUGGGCAGAUGUGCAAGUGGCCGACAUGCUCUGGAGCCUUCCUACAGGGGUGUGCUGGCAAGUGAUUAAAAUCUGGCUUUCUGACCUAAAUUACGAAAUCAGUCAUUCAUUUGUAGCAUGUGCUGAUUCCCACGGUGUCAGUCCUCCUGCCAUGGUCAAUUUCAGGCUGUUGAUGUGAUGUCAGUUUUUGAAUGUGGAGAGAGCGGUUCCCGUGAACUGGUCAGAGCCGGUUCUAGGAGACCACCCAUCAGGUCAGCAGGUCAUCACCUAAAUGCAGGAGCCACAUGGAGAGGACAGGAGAGGAGGAGCAAGAUGGAGU